rnacentral:lncRNA from 1 species
UGAUUAUUCAGCGGUACUGCACCACCGAAUAAUCACAUAUUCUACGGCAGUAUGGUACCGCUGAAUAACAUAUUCUGCGGUGGUACCAUACCGCCAAAUAACGCCAUUCAAUUGAAAAAGUUGUGCACAAAAGAGUCAAGGAAAAUUCUUACCAAAAUUACUACCAUUUACUCUUCUUCAUUGGACGACUAGACCCGUGUAGUCUACCUCUGCUGGAAUAGGUGUGGAAGUGAAGAAGUACCUCAAAUAUUUCUAUCAGUGCAUAUCCUGAAAAAAAAUUUUAAUCUCCCGCAGUCUGGAAACAUGUUUGAAAACAUGCCUAUUAAUUCUGAUCGAGAUUAUUUAAUCAUUUUUCCCUGUUUAGGUACAUGAAAGUAAGCUUCGAACCAAGAUGGAGCGAAUUAUUACAGCAUGGAAAUUUGCGGUCCAAUCCUACCUCAAAUGAUACACAAUAUCUGUGAUUUACUGCAUGUACCUUUGUCAGAAUUUCUCUGACGUUCGCCAACGUGGAAUCAACCAAACCGUUCUCUUUAGCUCAUUCUGCAGUGCAAGAAGAGACAAGCGACUCCUAUGAAUCACCGAACAAAUCAUGUCACAGCGAGUCCAACCACAGUGGAAUUUCCAUAGGCACAAGACAUAACAUACCCAGUGUGUUCGGUCAACAAAACCUCAGUGAUAGUGGUCUGAGAGCCUCUGUUUUAAAACGUUUCUGUAGCUCCAAGCUGGACGAUGUUCAGACCUUCGAUAGUCUAAAAUUCUCAAACGGAGUCUUUGAAUGUUCAUAGAGAUUUUUUUUUCAGAAUUUCCAACUCUAAAAUUUUUGGAGAAAUGUUUUUUUAGAAAAGCGAAAAUCUUAGUAUUUUGAUCAUUGAAACUAUCUCCUGCUCCUCCACAGAUCAUCUUGAUCAGGUAUCAACAUCCUCUUAGAUUUAUUGAAAGUUGUCUACCUUUGAAAGAUUUCUCAAGUUCCUCAGGAAUUUUCAGUUGUCUUAUGAUUGUUCAACAUGGGACAUAAAAACUAACUGCUAUUUUAGGUAAUAAGUUUUUACAUUUUUUGAAAACAGGCUUUUAAUGUCUAGCCUUUAAUUAGAUUCCAGUUUGGAAAAAUAUCCACAUUUUAUCGUACUGUUGAUCACUGGAGUUUUAAAAAUUUGACUAAAAAUAUUCUGUAUAUUUAGUUCCUAACUUUUUUUAAAUAAUACUUUUUUAUGUAAAGAAGAAAACUAGUCGAAGCUGCAAAACAUGAGAUUUUAACUACCAACAAGCUUGUUUCCAAAUUAGUAGAUGUAAAAGAAGAUCCAAAGACCUUAUUUCCCUAUUCAAUAAAAGAGAAAAGAUUAAAUUACAUAAUUAGUGUUUUGGUAGAUCUUUAAACUUAUUUUUAACACUUUUCUUCUCUGAAUGGAUUUGCUGUUUUUUAUCUAUAUGAUAUUUUUGGUUUUUGUAUUGUAAGUUGGGGGUGACAUUCUGUGAUAACCAAUUGUGAAUUUAACAGUGUAAAGGUUUUUGAAUUAAAAUUGUAAUUUUUCCAUUAUUAUAACAUUUGCAUCGUGUAUUUUUUUGUGUAUUUGACUGACAUUCUAGCAUAACUCAUAAUCGUUCUUUCACUUUCAUUUUUGUUGAUGGGGUUUUGUUUGUAGCACUUUUACUCCAUAUUCUACUUUGAAAUGCAUGAAUCUCCGUUCGUUUUACUAAAAAGCAAGAUAUUAAUUUCUUUCUACAUAAUUUGCUUGAACUGAAUCGCUUGAACUGCUUGAUAGAACCUGAUCUUGAGUUGCAGUUUAUAUGCGCGUGAAAAAUAUUCCCUCAAGGCAAUAUAAAUGAAAGCGCAUUGAAAUAAUGUUUUGGAAAAACUGCUCUUUAAAAAAUUUGUAUUUUUUAUUUCAAGUAAGUUUAAAAUAAUUAUUUACUCGAUUUAAUGGAAUUUUUACCGUGCUCACUGCUCAUGCCUUUCAUACCUUUGCAGCAAAUCGGGAGAAUUCGUCGCCAGAUAAGGAAAUUUUAAAGAACAUCUUGUUAUCAAACUGAUCUGGGUCUAUCAACCUUGCAGAACUCCACCCACCUAGAUGUCCUACCCUAGAUUCUUUCCACAUAGAGAAAGAGAAUGGAACUGGGAAAUUGAGAAAUAUUAAUCUAGCAACUGAAAGAAUGAGUAACAGUGAAAUAUGACAACAGUCAAUGGUUUCUUUCCCCUUUUUCUCUUUUCAAUACUUCAAUUUAGGUUUCUUUCUUCAUGUGCGAUAUGUAGAGUUUUUUUGCAAUUUCAUUUCCUGAUUAUCUGGAUGUUUCUGCAUGCAGAUAAGUCUUAUAAAAAUUAAUAUUGGUUGAAAAUUAGAAUUCUAGUGCGAGCUCUUAAUGGACCAAGUUUAACAAAGAUACAACAAUUCACAAUUUGGAGAAAAGUAAGUUCAUCUAGAAUUCAUCUAGCCGUAAAUCUUUUUCAGUCACGAAUUCAAAAUCUAAAUAAAAUAUUUUAAACUUGAUAAUAGUCGUUAAAACUUCGUCCAUAACAUCAAUUUUAAAUAAGGGUAACUAAUAACUUAAUCAAGG